GAUGAACGCUGGCGGCGUGCCUAAUACAUGCAAGUCGAGCGAACAGACGAGGAGCUUGCUCCUCUGACGUUAGCGGCGGACGGGUGAGUAACACGUGGAUAACCUACCUAUAAGACUGGGAUAACUUCGGGAAACCGGAGCUAAUACCGGAUAAUAUAUUGAACCGCAUGGUUCAAUAGUGAAAGACGGUUUUGCUGUCACUUAUAGAUGGAUCCGCGCCGCAUUAGCUAGUUGGUAAGGUAACGGCUUACCAAGGCAACGAUGCGUAGCCGACCUGAGAGGGUGACCGACCACACUGGAACUGAGACACGGUCCAGACUCCUACGGGAGGCAGCAGUAGGGAAUCUUCCGCAAUGGGCGAAAGCCUGACGGAGCAACGCCGCGUGAGUGAUGAUGGUCUUCGGAUCGUAAAACUCUGUUAUUAGGGAAGAACAAAUGUGUAAGUAACUAUGCACGUCUUGACGGUACCUAAUCAGAAAGCCACGGCUAACUACGUG
rnacentral:rRNA from 1 species